rnacentral:misc_RNA from 1 species
UGAAUGUGCAACUUCUUAUUCAACUGUAAGGGAACUUGAAGGACGGAUUACAAGUUUGGAGAAUGAACUGACGGAGCAAGCAAAAGAACUCUCCGAUUCAUUGGUCACCAUAAGCGAGCUCAAAGCUCAAGUCAGUAGCCUGGAUGAAGAACUGGAAAAUCAAGCACAGGGAUUUGAAGCUGAUCUUGAAACUCUUUCUUGUGAUAAAGUCAAGCAAGAGCAGAGAGCAAUACGAGCUGAAGAAGAACUGAGGAAGACAAGACAGCACACUGCUAGUACUGCAGAGCGGCUUCAGGACGAACUUAAAAGUCUCUCCAUGCAAAUGAUGUGCUCACUAAAAGCGAACGAAAAGAAAGCGUUACAUGAAGCUAAUGAGCUCCACCUGCAGAAAAUGCAUUUUGAAGAGACGCUUCAAAAAUCAUCUGAGGAACUCCGAUCAAUCAGAGUGCA